AUACGGAGGGUGCAAGCGUUACUCGGAAUCAUUGGGCGUAAAGCGCGCGCAGGCGGCUAUUUAAGUUGGAUGUGAAAGCCUACGGCUCAACCGUAGAACUGCAUCCAAAACUAUUUAGCUAGAGUGUGGGAGAGGAAGAUGGAAUUAGUUGUGUAGGGGUAAAAUCCGUAGAGAUAACUAGGAAUACCAAAAGCGAAGGCAAUCUUCUGGAACACUACUGACGCUGAGGCGCGAAAGCGUGGGGAGCAAACAGGAUUAGAAACCCUAGUAGUCC
rnacentral:rRNA from 1 species